rnacentral:rRNA from 1 species
AUUGCCCUCUUUCUUUAGGCCUAACACAUGCAAGUCGAACGGCAGCACAGUCAGAGCUUGCUCUUACGGGUGGCGAGUGGCGGACGGGUGAGGAAUACAUCGGAAUCUACUUUUUCGUGGGGGAUAACGUAGGGAAACUUACGCUAAUACCGCAUACGACCUACGGGUGAAAGCAGGGGAUCUUCGGACCUUGCGCGAUUGAAUGAGCCGAUGUCGGAUUAGCUAGUUGGCGGGGUAAAGGCCCACCAAGGCGACGAUCCGUAGCUGGUCUGAGAGGAUGAUAGGCCACACGGGAACGGAGCCACGGUCCAGACUCCUACGAGAGGCAGCAGUGGGGAAUAGUGGACAAUGGGCGCAAGCCUGAUCCAGCCAUACCGCGUGGGUUAAGAAGGCCUUCGGGUUGUAAAGCCCUUUUGUUGGGAAAGAAAAGCAGCAGGUUAAUACCCCGCUGUUCUGACGGUACCCAAAGAAUAAGCACCGGCUAACUUCGUG